UACGUAGGGGGCAAGCGUUGUUCGGAAUUACUGGGCGUAAAGCGCACGUAGGCGGAUAUUUAAGUCAGGGGUGAAAUCCCAGAGCUCAACUCUGGAACUGCCUUUGAUACUGGGUAUCUUGAGUAUGGAAGAGGUGAGUGGAACUCCGAGUGUAGAGGUGAAAUUCGUAGAUAUUCGGAGGAACACCAGUGGCGAAGGCGGCUCACUGGUCCAUUACUGACGCUGAGGUGCGAAAGCGUGGGGAGCAAACAGG
rnacentral:rRNA from 1 species